rnacentral:rRNA from 1 species
UAAAGAAUUUCGGUAUGGGAUGGGGAUGCGUUCCAUUAGUUAGUUGGCGGGGUAACGGCCCACCAAGACGACGAUGGAUAGGGGUUCUGAGAGGAAGGUCCCCCACAUUGGAACUGAGACACGGUCCAAACUCCUACGGGAGGCAGCAGUGAGGAAUAUUGGUCAAUGGACGAGAGUCUGAACCAGCCAAGUAGCGUGAAGGAUGACUGCCCUAUGGGUUGUAAACUUCUUUUAUAUGGGAAUAAAAUGUUCCACGUGUGGGAUUUUGUAUGUACCAUAUGAAUAAGGAUCGGCUAACUCCGUGCCAGCAGCCGCGGUAAUACGGAGGAUCCGAGCGUUAUCCGGAUUUAUUGGGUUUAAAGGGAGCGUAGGUGGAUUGUUAAGUCAGUUGUGAAAGUUUGCGGCUCAACCGUAAAAUUGCAGUUGAAACUGGCAGUCUUGAGUACAGUAGAGGUGGGCGGAAUUCGUGGUGUAGCGGUGAAAUGCUUAGAUAUCACGAAGAACUCCGAUUGCGAAGGCAGCUCACUGGACUGCAACUGACACUGAGGCUCGAAAGUGUGGGUAUCAAACAGGAUUAGAUACUCUGGUAGUCCACACAGUAAACGAUGAAUACUCGCUGUUUGCGAUAUACAGCAA